rnacentral:rRNA from 1 species
GGACUACCAGGGUAUCUAAUCCUUUUUGCUCCCCACGCUUUCGCGGCUCAGGGUCAGGAAGGUCCCAGUGCAAUGCCUUCGCCUUUGGUAUUCCGCACGAUAUCAACGGAUUUCACCCCUACACCGUGCGUUCUAUGCACCUCUAACCUCCUCUAGUUCUGUCGUAUCUCCUGCAGUUCCACCGUUAGGCGGUGGGCUUUAACAGAAGACGCACAAAACCCCCUACACGCGCUUUACGCCCAAUAAAUCCGGAUAACGCUUGAGGUCUACGUUUUACCGCGGCUGCUGGCAC